AUUGAACGCUGGCGGCAUGCCUUACACAUGCAAGUCGAACGGCAGCACGGGUGCUUGCCCCUGGUGGCGAGUGGCGAACGGGUGAGUAAUACAUCGGAACAUGUCCUGUAGUGGGGGAUAGCCCGGCGAAAGCCGGAUUAAUACCGCAUACGAUCUACGGAUGAAAGCGGGGGCCCUUCGGGCCUCGCGCUAUAGGGUUGGCCGAUGGCUGAUUAGCUAGUUGGUGGGGUAAAGGCCUACCAAGGCGACGAUCAGUAGCUGGUCUGAGAGGACGACCAGCCACACUGGGACUGAGACACGGCCCAGACUCCUACGGGAGGCAGCAGUGGGGAAUUUUGGACAAUGGGCGAAAGCCUGAUCCAGCAAUGCCGCGUGUGUGAAGAAGGCCUUCGGGUUGUAAAGCACUUUUGUCCGGAAAGAAAUCCUUGGCUCUAAUACAGUCGGGGGAUGACGGUACCGGAAGAAUAAGCACCGGCUAACUACGUG
rnacentral:rRNA from 1 species